rnacentral:lncRNA from 1 species
AGCAAGGUAUCUUUGAUGCUUAUCUGUGUUAUGUGAUUUGCAUUACAUGUAUCAAACUUUUUAUUGCUGAAUACUAUUCCUUCCUUUCUCAGGGAGAGUGCUACUGGUCUUGGAUUUGAGGACCUGGGAAUCCAUGCCUCUGAACUCUGGUGACCCUUCUAACAGCUCUCAACUCCACCUGGUGGCAGAGAGGGAGAAGAAGAAGAUGGGACAAAAGGGCUAUUUUUAAUCUGGUGGCUUGGCGUUGGAAGAUUGGAUCCUCGCAGAGAAUGCUGAUUGCAUUUCCACCAAGCUCUGGAUCACAUGAUUCUCUGGGGGAGGUGGGUAGGACCUCUAGGGAAGCUUCUCUAUGGAGGUGAAAUUCUAGCUGAGACCUGCAUGAUGAGAAGAAAAGGAACCUGGAAGUUGAAUUUAAGGCAGAAAGAAGAACAAGGAUAAGAUCCAUGAGCUGGGAACCCUCUUGCUAUAUUUGAGUAGCAGAAAGAAGGUGGGUUGAGCUGGACAUAGAGAGCAGGGGAGUGGUAGAACACUCCAUCAGACACAUAAACAAGGCAGAUGUGCAGGCCAUUGCAAGCACAAGAACUUUUUUGUUUUUGAGACAGGAUCUCCUUCUGUCACCCAGGCUGGAGUGCAGUGGCACAAUCUCAGCUCAUUGCAGCCUCGACCUCCUGAGCUCAGGUGAUCCUCCCAUCUCAGCCUCUUAAGUAGCUGGGACUACAGGUGCAUGUCACCAUGCCUGGCU